UUUGUAACUUUUAACUAU
rnacentral:snRNA from 1 species